CACCCCCGCCUGUGUACUCGCCUCCACCUCCAUCACCAUCACCCCCGCCCCCUCCUGUUUACUCUUCUCCACCACCACCACCACCGUAUUGUGUCCGCCCUCCACCACCUCCGCCAAAUUCUCCUCCACCGCCUCCUCCACUGUACUCCUCACCACCGCCAAACCCUUACAUUUAUAGCUCACCACCACCUCCGCCACAUCACUCACCACCUCCACCGCCACAUUCACCCCCACCUCCUAUUUAUCCAUACCAAUCUCCCCCGCCACCUCCACCAGUCCAUUCACCACCACCUCCAUCCCCACCCCCUUGUAUAGAACCACCUCCCCCUCCACCACCACCAUGUGUAGAAUAUUCGCCCCCACCUCCAUUGCCUUCACCUCCACCGCCAACUCAUUAUAAGCCCCCGCCAUCGCCAUCACCACCACCAGCACCAGUAAUUUAUGCUUCGCCACCUCCACCACCACCAGUUUACUAUCCACCACCACCACCACCACCACCAGCUCAUUACAAUUCGCCACCCCCACCAUCGCCAUCACCUCCACCUCCAAUUCCAUGUGAGAACCCUCCACCACCACCAUCUCCAUCUCCACCGCCGCCAAUUGUUUAUGAAAGUCCACCGCCUCCAGCACCAGUGUACGAGGGGCCAUUGCCACCAGUGUUUGGAGUCUCAUAUGCUUCGCCUCCGCCACCACCUUUCUAUUGAUUCUUUUGAGAAAUUUCCUCCUCUAACCUUUUUAUU
rnacentral:lncRNA from 1 species